AUGGUCAAGCAGAAAGGGCACAGGGCGGAUGCUUGGCACUAAGGGCCGAAGAAAGACGUGAUAAGCUGCGAUAAGCUUCGGGGAGGAGCAAAUAUCCAUUGAUCCGGAGAUCUCUGAAUGGGGAAACCCACAUGAGCAAACCUCAUGUAUCCAUACGCCAAUCCAUAACGUAUGGAGGGGAACCCGGGGAACUGAAACAUCUAAGUACCCGGAGGAAAAGAAAGAAAACUCGAUUCCGUAAGUAGCGGCGAGCGAACGCGGAAGAGCCUAAACCGGUGUGCGUGCACACCGGGGUUACGGACUGCAUUUAAGAUUCUGCAAUGUUAGUGGAACGGUUUUGGGAAAGCCGGCCGGAGAGGGUGAAAGCCCCGUAGACGAAAACAGAGCAGACUGAGCAGGAUCCAGAGUACCGCGGGACACGAGAAACCCUGCGGGAAGUGAGGGGGACCACCCCCUAAGGCUAAAUACCACUUAGUGACCGAUAGCGCAUAGUACUGUGAAGGAAAGGUGAAAAGGACCCCGGGAGGGGAGUGAAAGAGAACCUGAAACCCUGUGUCUACAAGCUGUGGGAGUGCUUUAUAUGCACGACCGCGUACUUUUUGUAGAACGGUCCGGCGAGUUGCGCUCACUGGCAAGGUUAAGCACCGAAGGUGCGGAGCCGUAGGGAAACCAAGUCUUAAGAGGGCCAGAGUCAGUGGGGGCAGACCCGAAACCGGGUGAUCUAUCCAUGUCCAGGUUGAAGCUGCCGUAAGAGGCAGUGGAGGACCGAACCCACAUCCGUUGAAAAGGGUGGGGAUGAGGUGUGGAUAGGGGAGAAAUUCCAAUCGAACCCGGAGAUAGCUGGUUCUCCUCGAAAUAGCUUUAGGGCUAGCCUUGGUAGAGAUUUGCGGAGGUAGAGCACUGAAUUUCCUAGGGGGCGUCAAAGCCUACCGAAGAAUAUCAAACUCCGAAUGCCGUGUAAUUGCUUACCAGGAGUCAGACUGCACGAGAUAAGUUGGGCAGUCAAAAGGGAAAGAGCCCAGACCUUCAGUUAAGGUCCCAAAGUGUGCGUUAAGUGGAAAAGGAUGUGGGAUUUCGAAGACAACCAGGAUGUUGGCUCAGAAGCAGCCAUUCAUUCAAAGAGUGCGUAAUAGCUCACUGGUCGAGAGGUCCUGCGCCGAAAAUGUCCGGGGCUGAAACGCACCACCGAAACUAAGGGAUCCG
rnacentral:rRNA from 1 species